GAUGAACGCUGGCGGCGUGCCUAAUACAUGCAAGUCGAGCGAACAGACGAGGAGCUUGCUCCUCUGACGUUAGCGGCGGACGGGUGAGUAACACGUGGAUAACCUACCUAUAAGACUGGGAUAACUUCGGGAAACCGGAGCUAAUACCGGAUAAUAUAUUGAACCGCAUGGUUCAAUAGUGAAAGACGGUUUUGCUGUCACUUAUAGAUGGAUCCGCGCCGCAUUAGCUAGUUGGUAAGGUAACGGCUUACCAAGGCGACGAUGCGUAGCCGACCUGAGAGGCUGAGAGGACAAACUGGAACUGAGGCGCGGCACAGAGUCCGACGGGAGGGCACAGUAGGGAAUAGUGGACAAUGGGUGCAAAACUAACGAAGCAAUGCCGAACGCGUGACAAAAGUAUUCGGGUUGUAAAGCUCUCGUGUUGGGAAAGAAACAAAGUAGGUUAACAUAACGAUGUCCAGACGGUAAACAAAGAGAAAGGCACGGCUAACUUCGGG
rnacentral:rRNA from 1 species